rnacentral:rRNA from 1 species
AUAGCUCCCAGGCGGCGAGUGGCGGACGGGUGAGUAAUACGUAGGAAUCUACCUUAUAGUGGGGGAUAACCUGAGGAAACUCGGGCUAAUACCGCAUAAUCUCCGUCUUUUUUUGGAUGGAGUAAAGUGGGGGAUCUUCGGACCUCGCGCUAUAAGAUGAGCCUAUGUCGGAUUAGCUUGUUGGUGAGGUAAUGGCUCACCAAGGCGACGAUCCGUAGCUGGUCUGAGAGGACGAUCAGCCACACUGGGACUGAGACACGGCCCAGACUCCUACGGGAGGCAGCAGUGGGGAAUCUUGGACAAUGGGGGGAACCCUAGA